rnacentral:lncRNA from 1 species
AUGAGGACACGUGAGAACUUGGCCUGCUGUGAAUCCAUCAGGGAAGAAGAGCCACACCCAAACAGUGCUGAUUCAGAGAGCUGUGAUAACACAAGGGAGUCGUGUCAACCUUGUCUCAUGCACCAGCUGAACUCAGUGACACUAGCAGCUUGGAUCCCGACAGACGGGGUGUUAUUACUGAACCACCGGGGAGGCUGCCCAGGGCCGGACCACGCUGCUCCGAAGGCGCUUUGUUCGCCGCGUGGGGCAGCCUGACCUGAGUGAAGACAGCAAACACACCUCGAGUUGGAAUCCCAGCCAGUGUCAGGGACCCCGUAGUUCUCAAACGUCAGCCCGUGUCUCAGUCACCUGCAAGACUUGUUACAACAUAGAGUUUUAUAACCACCUACCCCCCAGAGACUCUGAUUCAGUCGGUCUGGUGCAGGGACAGUGAUUUUGCAUUUCUAGUAAGUUCCUAAGUGGUUCCUAGCUGGUUGGGAGAUCACACUUGGAGAACUGCGAACCUGCUCCAGAGCCUUGACUUCAAAAUCUCUUCCUUUCCAGGUCUUCUGUGCCUGAGGGACUUCAGAGAUGGGGAGAAUAGUGAAUGGAAGCCAAAAGAUGGACACAACCCAAAUGCCCAUCGGCGGGCGAAUGGAUAAACAGAAUGCGGUCUGUCCAUACAGUGGAACACUAGUCAGCCACGAAAAGGAAUGAGGUACUGACACACGCUACCACUUGGAGGACCCGUGGGCUACACGGUGCGUGAUCCCAGUGAUCUGGGCUGCCCAGAAUAAGCAAAUUUAAAGGUGGUUGCCAGGAGGUAGGAGGCAAUGAGGAGCCACGGCUUAUUGGGUUUCCAUUUGGGAUGAUGCAAACGUUGUGGAACUGGACAGAGAUGAUAGUCGGACAACACUGUGAAUGUGCUUACUGCAACCGAACGGUACACUUGAAAAUGAUGAAAAAGGUGAAUUUUGUGUCAUAUGUAUUUUAUUGCAAUAAAAAGUAAAAAGAGUUAAUGGGGUGCUCUUCUAAUUCAAAUUUUGGGGUCAGUUCCAAGACUUCCAGGAUACAGUCUGGAAGUUCAAAGGGCCUAAACCAGUGGUUGUCAGCCCUCAUUCUGGGAAGAAUCACCC